ensembl:lncRNA
CUGUGUACUCUGGGGGAGCAUGUAGUGCUGAAAGCAGGAGGAGGGCUAGAACUCUGUUCUACUAAAGGUUUGAAGAAUAUCUACCACCCACAGCUCCCUCUGCUGGCCAGAACAACCAUGCACUUGGGUCACUAUUUGGCAGCGCAGGCUAUGAUGAGGUCUUCCGAGGAGGAUGAAGACCCCUCAAAGCCCUGGCUCGCAGCUCAGGAAGUGCUGCAGUCUGCACUCAUCAUUUCCCAGGCCUCUGCCUGCAGGGACCACCAGCUGGAGGCUGAUAUCCUAUGUUGCAAAGGUGAGCAGUGUUGGAACAGAGCGAAUGAGGUGAGGAGUAGGCCUUCUCUUUGCAUUGUAGCUGGUGAAAGUUUAUGCUUGUUUUACCUGUAUUCCUGCAGGAAUGGUGGAAAGAAACCUGAUGUCACUGAGUGCAUUCCAGCACCAGGCAGUGGUAGAGACCUUCCUGGAGAGCAUCACUAUCACCCUUUCUCACAACCACAAUCUGCAGUUAAUUCACAGGUGUUACAUGGAGAUGGCUCUAAUAUAUCUGCAACAAUGGCAGAAGGAUGCUGCUCUUGCCAAACCUGCUCCCCCUCCAGCACCUACUAAAUCAGACAACAAGGUAAUGACGGAGAAGCUCAUAAUGAUGCAGGAGCCCAACAGUGACAUGACCAUUUAUGUACAUGUGUUUGUUUAAUUUCUAUAGCCCCAAGCUGGAAAACGUGCCAUGUCUACCCUUAAUAAAAACUUGACUGUGAGUGAGAGUCACAUACUUCUCUUUUGGGUUUGUUUGAGAGCUGCCACAAAGAUAAUGGAGGCUAUUACCAGUUGUAGCCAAUUGUGUGGCUUCACUGGUUCCAUAGGAGACCAGCUUCCUCUUACAUCACUCGAAGCUCUCCCUGAGUUUGCUGCCAAUGAUCUACUUCAUCCUUGUGGGGGUAUGGAGGAUCCCCUCCGAUGUCGGCCCGAUUCAGGUCCAGACAUGGAUAGUGAACUGAGCAGCAGAAAGGAUCUCACCUGGGUGCAUUUGUCACGCUACUACACACACCUGCUCAACCUGAGACACAUCUCCACUCGAACAGUGGCAGAAAAGUGUGUGGAGGGGUUGAUAUCUGCAGCUGGUGACCCCAGUCUAUGUCUCAAACUUGCUCAGCUACACAAUUUCUUCAGCUGUCACCUGGAAGCUUACAGAGAACUGUGUGUUGUAGCUGACCCUCCAGCUGCCCUCAUUCUAGAGCCUCAUGUUAUGCAGUUGCCCAACACUGUGAAGAUGUCUGUUUGUCAGCCCAAGCAGCCAGUGUCAGACUUGUAUCCCUGGGCUACAGUGGACUCGCAGCAGUUAUGCAUCCAGUGGUAUCGGCCCACACUGCAACUCAGUGGACUGACACACAACACAACUGUGCUUAUUUUUGCACUGAAUAAAGCUCCGCUCUCUGCCAUGCAUCCCAACAGAGUGGCCGUCGCUGAGUUAGAGGCUGGACAGCGGCUCAUCUCUACAGACAGGCUGAAAGCUCUUCAUGAACAGCUGAUCUCAGUGUGUGUGGAUGCCAAAUUCGAUUCGACUCCAUCCGCUUCACCUGCUCCCAGCUCGACUCCCUCCAUCAGCUCCAAGCAAGAGAGUCAGCGCAGCAGCAAAAGCUCUAAUAAACUUGACACAUCCAGCUAUCAGCAACAGGUUUGUUACUGAGAACUAUACCUCAUGUAAACCAGACCUAGGGUUGUUUACGAGCACAUUCAUUUAC